AGGCGUGCUGGCCGGCGUGGAGAGCCGCCAGGGCUCUAUCAAGGGGCUGGUGUACUCCAGCAACUUCCAGCCUUGAUGACUUACAAGCCCUCAAGGGGAAGCAUUUUCUCCUGGACUCCUUGAUGCCGGAGCUGCUGGUGUUUCCCGCCCAGACAGAUCUGCAUGAACACCCACUGUACCGGGCCGGACACCUCAUUCUGCAGGACAGGGCCAGCUGUCUCCCAGCCAUGCUGCUGGACCCCUGCCAGGCUCCCAUGUCAUCGAUGCCUGUGCCGCCCCAGGCAAUAAGACCAGUCACUUGGCUGCUCUUCUGAAGAACCAAGGGUAUGCCGAGCAGACAGCUGGAGGAUCCCGGGGCAGGGACACCUAGCCCGGUGCGUCUGCAUGCCCUGGCAGGGUUCCAGCAGCGAGCCCUGUGCCACGCGCUCACUUUCCCUUCCCUGCAGCGGCUCGUCUACUCCAUGUGCUCCCUCUGCCAGGAGGAGAAUGAAGACAUGGUACCAGAUGCGCUGCAGCAGAACCCGGGCGCCUUCAGGCUAGCUCCCGCCCUGCCUGCCCGGCCCCACCGAGGCCUGAGCACGUUCCCGGGUGCCGAGCACUGCCUCCGGGCUUCCCCCAAGACCACGCUUAGCGGUGGCUUCUUCGUUGCUGUAAUUGAACGGGUCGAGAUGCCGAUGUGAGUGAGUGGGGGCAUGCUUGGGAGGCGCAGGAUGGUACUGGCACAUCUAACAUCUACACUUCUCUAGCUCAGCCUCACAGGCCAAAGCAUCAGCACCAGAACGCACACCCAGCCCAGCCCCAAAGAGAAAGAAGAGACAGCAAAGAGCCGCAGCCGGUGCUUGCACACCGCCUUGCACAUAGCAGAGGCUCCAGGCUGACUCCUUCCUGGUGGGAAAGGAAGAUGCCUGUCCUCUCCGUGGAGGACCCUGGGCCCUCACCGCAGGCAGCAGUUUGCAUUUUGAAAGGUUAUUGGGUCCCUUCCUCGGGCUGUGUUCUUGCUGGUGAGCAAAAGUGUUGCCUGCAGAAAUAAAAUGCAGAACGUACUCUA
ensembl:lncRNA NSUN5P1 NSUN5 pseudogene 1